UAGAUAAGUCUGCUUUCAAAGAGGGGGCUCAACCCCAUAAAGGGAGUGGAAACUGUUUAGCUAGAGUAUGGUAGGGGCAGAGGGAAUUCCCAGUGUAGCGGUGAAAUGCGUAGAUAUUGGGAAGAACACCAGUGGCGAAGGCGCUCUGCUGGACCGAGACUGACGCUGAGGGACGAAAGCUAGGGGAGCGAAAGGGAUUAGAUACCCCUGUAGUCCUAGCUGUAAACGAUGGACACUAGGUGUUGCGCGUAUCGACCCGUGCAGUGCCGUAGCUAACGCGUUAAGUGUCCCGCCUGGGGAGUACGCACGCAAGUGUGAAACUCAAAGGAAUUGACGGGGGCCCGCACAAGCGGUGGAGUAUGUGGUUUAAUUCGAUGCAACGCGAAGAACCUUACCAGGGUUUGACAUCCCUCGAAUCUCUGUGAAAGCGGAGAGUGCCUUCGGGAGCGAGGAGACAGGUGGUGCAUGGCUGUCGUCAGCUCGUGUCGUGAGAUGUUGGGUUAAGUCCCGCAACGAGCGCAACCCACGUUUUUCAGUUGCCAGCAUUAAGUUGGGGACUCUGGAGAGACUGCCGGUGACAAACCGGAGGAAGGUGUGGACGACGUCAAGUCAUCAUGCCCCUUACAUCCUGGGCUACACACGUACUACAAUGGUUAGGACAAAGGGCAGCGAAGCCGCGAGGUGGAGCAAAACUCAUAAACCUAGCCUCAGUUCAGAUUGCAGGCUGCAACUCGCCUGCAUGAAGGAGGAAUCGCUAGUAAUCGCAGGUCAGCAUACUGCGGUGAAUACGUUCCCGGGCCUUGUACACACCGCCCGUCACACCAUGGGAGUUGGCCACGCCCGAAGUCGUUACCCUAACCGU
rnacentral:rRNA from 1 species